rnacentral:rRNA from 1 species
UACGAAGGGGGCUAGCGUUGCUCGGAAUCACUGGGCGUAAAGCGCACGUAGGCGGAUCGUUAAGUCAGUGGUGAAAUCCUGGAGCUCAACUCCAGAACUGCCUUUGAUACUGGCGACCUUGAGUUCGGGAGAGGUGAGUGGAACUGCGAGUGUAGAGGUGAAAUUCGUAGAUAUUCGCAAGAACACCAGUGGCGAAGGCGGCUCGCUGGCCCGAUACUGACGCUGAGGUGCGAAAGCGUGGGGAGCAAACAGG